ACGGUGGAUGAUGGUGUGCGAGUGGCUCGCGUGGAGGUAGUGAAGGCCCCUGGCGGCCCCGAUGCAGAUCUCCAGCCUCUGCUUCCAAGAAAGACACGGCUUAUCGGAGCCGUACAAGUAAGUCCUGAGCGGUCCCUUCCCCAUGUACUCGUAGACUAAUAUUUUUUCCGAUUGCUCCUCGCAGUACCCGAUCAGUGAGACCAGAUGCCGGUGGCGGAUCUUGGACAGGAUGAGGAUCUCAGUCUGGAAUUCCGGGUAUCCUUGUUUUGACCCCGGCAUGGCUCGUUUCACC
rnacentral:lncRNA from 1 species